rnacentral:tRNA from 1 species
GCAAUGGUGGUUCAGUAGAGUUCCCACCUCCCAUGUGGGAGACCUGGGUUCAAUUCCCAGCCAACACA